rnacentral:tRNA from 1 species
GCGGGAGUAGUUCAGUGGUAGAACGCAACCUUGCCAAGGUUGAGGUCGUGGGUUCGAACCCCAUUUCCCGCU